AUUAACCACAAUUUUUUAAUUUGCGAACUGUAACUCUAAGAAUCCCCAUACCCUAUGCCUAUAUAAAAUAAAAGGCUCUUCGGCCCCUUUUUUCCGGCUCCCCGCUUGCGCCACUAGUUUCUGUCUCCUACGAGAGAGAGAGAGAGAGAGAGAGAGAGAAAUGGAGAAGUCGAGAAGAAGAGAAGGUAUUUGGGGCUGAGCAGUGAGCACGAUUUUCCUCUACUGCUUCGCGGCACCGACUACAGGUAGCAGUUUCUACACUUCGAAAGAAUCGAAAUGGCACUUACCAAUUCAAAAUCCGUUGUCUUGUCCCGCUAAAAAUGAAAUCUUUGAUUUGGGUAAUGGGUUCCUUAAUUUUAUAGAAAUUUUUGAUUGAAAAUUUGAAAAAUAGGUUGGAGUCUAAGAGUCUUCGUCUCUUCGAGAAUGGAGAGACUGAGAGAGAAGAAGGUCCGUUUGAUUUUGUUUUCUAACCUGGACCUGUUGGUUAGAAUUAGGUUUGGUUUGGGUUUGGGUUUGGGGGUGGGUUUGGUUUUGGGUUUACAUAGAUAAUAAAAUUUAUGUUUUGUUUGGGCCAAAAAAUUAAAGUUGGGCUCAUUUUAUUGCAACUAGGCUUACACCACAUAGGCUAUUUUUAAAUUUUACAUGGGUUCAACCCAAAAAAAAAAAAAAAAAAAACUAUGGACUGAUGGAUCUGGGCUUGGGCGAACACGGGCUGUAGCCUGGGCUUCGUCCUUGUUUUCCUCUGCUGCUUUGCGGCACUAACUACAGGUAACAGCUUCUACACUUUGAAAGAAUUGAAAUGGCAAUUACCAAUUCAAAUGCCGUUGUUUUGUCCUGCUAAAAUACACUUUUAAGAGAUGAAAUUUUUGAUGUGGGUAAUGGAUUCCUUAAAUUCAUAGAAAUUUUUGAUUGAAAAUUUUAAAAAUAGGUUGGAGUCUAAGAGUCUUCGUCUCUUCGAGAAUGGAGAGACUGAGAGAGAGGAAGGUCCGUUUGAUUUUGAUUUUGAUUUCUAACCUGGACCUGUUGGUUGUCAAGGGAUUAAUAUUGGAUUAGAAUUAGGUUUGGUUUGGUUUGGGUUUGGGUUUAGGUUUGGAAACACAUGGAUAAUAAAAUUUAUGUUUUGUUUGGGCCAAAAAAUUAAAGUUGGAUCAUUUGCUCAUUUUAUUGCAACUAGGCUUAUACCACACUGGCUGAUUUUAAAUUUUACAUGGGUUGAACCAAAAAAAAAAAACAACAACUAGGAAUUGAUGGAUCUAGGCUUGGGCGAGCACAGGCCGUAGCCCGGGCAAGCCUGGGCCUGGAUCCACCCCUGGAUGGUUUUGGUGUAGGGUUUCUGUCUUGCUUUCUGACUAUUAUGUACUCUUCUUCUUCGUGUUCAAUUUCUCUCAUCUUUUGAUGAGAUUUUCUUGGUUGUGUUAGUGUGCAAUCUGAGAUAUUGUGAGGAGUAUAUUUUGUUGUAGUCUUUAGAGAUGUAAGAAGAAACACUAAUGAAUUUAUGAUUUAUUCAUAUAUUUGUAAUGAUUCUUGAUGAUUUUAGUGGAUUCGAACAGUAUCUACUUAGUAGAUGCUCAAAGUGGUGAGUAGAUGCUGAACUUCCGUAUCCUUUUUGAAG
rnacentral:lncRNA from 1 species